rnacentral:rRNA from 1 species
GACGAACGCUGGCGGCGUGCCUAACACAUGCAAGUGGAGCGACGAACCAGGCUUCGGCCUGGGGCAAAGCCGCGAACGGGUGAGUAACACGUGGGUAACCUGCCCCGAUGAUUGGGACAACCCGAGGAAACUCGGGCUAAUACCGAAUGUGCCCUCCCGACCGCAAGGUCACUGGGGAAAGGAAGCUUCGGCCUCCGCAUCGGGA